GACGAACGCUGGCGGCGUGCUUAACACAUGCAAGUCGAACGGAAAGGCCCUGCUUUUGUGGGGUUCUCGAGUGGCGAACGGGUGUGUAACACGUGAGUAACCUGCCCUUGACUUUGUGAUAACUUCAGGAAACUGGGGCUACUACAGGAUAGGAGCUCCUGCUGCAUGGUGGGGGUUGGAAAGUUUCGGCGGUUGGGGAUGGACUCGCGGCUUAUCAGCUUGUUGGUGGGGUAGUGGCUUACCAAGGCUUUGACGGGUAGCCGGCCUGAGAGGGUAAACGGCCACAUGGCGACUAAGAGACGGCCCAGACGCCUACGGGGGGCAACAGGGGGGAAUAUUGCACAAUGGGCGGAAGCCUGAUGCAGAAACGCCGCGUGCGUGAUGACGGCCUUCGGGUUGUAAACCGCUUUCGCCUGAGACGAAGCGUUAGUGACGGUAAUGGGUAAAGAAGCACCGGCUAACUACGUG
rnacentral:rRNA from 1 species